rnacentral:sRNA from 1 species
GAAUGAGAGGGCCAUCUGGUCAGAGCAUCUGUUACUAAACUGGUUGCCAGGAUUGUUUCCACUGAUCUGACUGGCUAAGUGGGCAUUCCUUUCCUCCUUAUGCCAGUUCCUCCCAAAGCCUAUGGGUGCGAUGGAGUCUUCAUUUUCUUUGAGCAAGGAUAUCUGAAAGCUGACAUGUGCUUGCUGGAACUUCAGAACAAGUUCUCUUCUCAUGAGGGGUCACCUCAGCAAUGGCAUUUCCACCUACCUCUUUAAAGUAUUGUGAAAAUCAAAUGUAAUAAUAG